rnacentral:rRNA from 1 species
GGGUUAGUAGGUUGGUCAUGCCUCUGGUAUGUACUGGUCUCACUGAUUCCUCCUUCCUGAUGAACCUUAAUGCCAUUAAUUUGGUGUUUUGGGGAAUUUGGACUGUUACUUUGAAAAGAUUAGAGUGUUUAAAGCAAGCUAACGCUUGAAUACAUUAGCAUGGAAUAAUGAAAUAGGACGUUCGAUCCUAUUUUGUUGGUUUCUAGGAUUGACGUAAUGAUAAUA